CUCCUAUUUAGUUAUGCAUGCAAUCUCACUAAACUUCGUGUACGCUGACUCAACCUCGUAACUAUACACGUGAACUGUGAACUUCAGUGCUGGGAAUGUAGUAUGUUUACGUUGAUAUUUCUGUAACGCGAACUCAGUUAGGUGUCCGUCCUCGAGCUAAAAGAGUCCUGAAUAAUUCAUCGGCAUAUUUAACCGGGCCCCGGCGCGCUCGUGCGUAAUACAACACAUUAAAAUGAUAUCUUAACAAAUACAUUGACGUACUAUAUUUGAAUGGAAGUAAAUUCACCAUAAUUAGAACAUUGGGUGUGAGAAAGGACGUGACGUGAGGUGAAUAACGACGUCUUUUACGGUUUGAAAAAACAUAUCCGCAG
rnacentral:misc_RNA from 1 species